rnacentral:rRNA from 1 species
GGGGGAAAGCCUGUAUCCAGCCGUGCCGCGUGUGUGAAGAAGGUCUUCGGAUUGUAAAGUACUUUUGUUCGGGAGGAAGGGCAGU